GGCCCGGCCGCCGCACCCCGCCCCGGCCGGCCCCUCUAGCAUGGUGCGGGGCCGCCGCCGCCUCGUCCUCCAGCUGCCGACAUGGGCGAGAGGCUGGAGCUGCGGCUGAAGUCGCCCGUGGGAGCCGAGCCCGCCGUGUACCCCUGGCCGCUGCCCGUCUACGACAAACACCACGAUGCUGCUCAUGAAAUUAUUGAGACAAUUCGGUGGGUCUGUGAAGAAAUCCCAGAUCUCAAGCUUGCCAUGGAAAACUAUGUUUUAAUUGACUAUGAUACAAAAAGCUUUGAGAGCAUGCAGAGACUGUGUGACAAGUACAACCGAGCCAUCGACAGCAUCCACCAGUUGUGGAAGGGGACGACGCAGCCCAUGAAGCUGAACACACGUCCCUCCAACGGGCUCCUGAGGCACAUCCUGCAGCAGGUCUACAACCACUCGGUCACAGACCCUGAGAAACUCAACAACUACGAGCCCUUCUCCCCUGAGGUCUACGGAGAAACUUCCUUUGACUUGGUGGCCCAAAUGAUUGAUGAGAUUAAAAUGACAGAGGAUGAUUUGUUCGUUGACUUGGGCAGUGGUGUGGGGCAGGUGGUGCUUCAAGUGGCUGCGGCCACAAACUGCAAACAUCACUACGGAGUGGAGAAAGCUGAUAUUCCAGCCAAAUACGCCGAGACGAUGGACAGAGAGUUCAGAAAAUGGAUGAAAUGGUAUGGGAAGAAACAUGCAGAAUACACACUGGAAAGAGGUGACUUCCUCUCAGAAGAAUGGAGGGAGAGGAUUGCAAACACAAGUGUUAUUUUUGUGAAUAACUUUGCCUUCGGGCCUGAGGUGGAUCACCAGCUGAAGGAGCGCUUUGCGAACAUGAAGGAAGGUGGGAGAAUUGUGUCCUCAAAACCUUUUGCACCUCUAAAUUUUAGAAUUAACAGUCGAAACUUGAGUGAUAUUGGCACUAUCAUGAGGGUUGUGGAGCUGUCACCACUGAAGGGCUCCGUGUCCUGGACGGGGAAACCAGUCUCCUACUACCUGCACACGAUUGACAGAACCAUACUUGAAAACUAUUUUUCUAGUCUCAAAAAUCCAAAACUCAGGGAGGAACAAGAGGCAGCUAGACGUCGUCAACAAAGAGAAAACAAGAGUAACACAACGACUCCAACGAAGGUCCAAGAAAACAAGGAUUCUGGUGCUGAAGAAGAAAAAGCUGCAGCAAAUUCUGUUAAAAAGCCAUCUCCCUCCAAGGCCCGGAAGAAAAAGCUGAGUAAGAAAGGCAGGAAAAUGGCAGGGAGGAAACGAGGGCGCCCCAAGAAAAUGAACACGGCGAGUACUGAACGCAAGACCAAGAAGAACCAAACUGCACUAGAACUUCUGCAUGCUCAGACUGUCUCCCAGACAUCUUCAUCCUCUCCUCAGGAUGCCUACAAGUCACCUCAUAGCCCAUAUUACCAACUACCUCCUAAAGUGCAACGGCAUUCGUCCAACCAGCUCCUGGUGACACCCACCCCCCCUGCACUACAGAAGCUGCUAGACUCAUUUAAGAUCCAGUACAUGCAGUUCAUGGCAUACAUGAAAACUCCUCAGUACAAAGCAAGUCUGCAACAGUUACUGGAGCAGGAAAAGGAGAAGAAUGCUCAGCUGCUGGGGACAGCCCAGCAGUUAUUCACCCACUGCCAGGCCCAGAAAGAGGAAAUCAAACGGCUCUUUCAGCAGAAGCUCGAUGAGCUGGGAGUUAAAGCUCUGACAUACAAUGACCUGAUCCAAGCUCAGAAGGAAAUCUCUGCUCACAACCAGCAGCUGAAAGAACAGACAAAACAGCUGGAGAAGGACAACAGUGAACUCAGGAAUCAGAGCUUGCAGCUGCUGAAGGCUCGGUGUGAAGAACUGAAGCUGGAUUGGUCAACGCUGUCACUGGAGAACUUGCUGAAAGAGAAGCAGGCCUUGAAGAAUCAGAUUUCUGAGAAGCAAAAGCACUGUUUGGAACUGCAGAUCAGCAUCGUGGAGCUUGAGAAGAGUCAGCGGCAGCAGGAGCUGCUGCAGCUCAAGUCCUACACGCCCUCAGAGGAGCCCCUGUCAGUGCAGCUGCACAGCAAAACCCACCUGAGCCGUGACCCUGAGGCUGAGCACGGCAGGUUCCAGCUGGAGCUGGAGUGCUCCAAGUUCCCCAUGCCCCACAUCAAUGGCAUGAGCCCCGAGCUGUCCAUGAACGGCCACGCCACCCCCUAUGAGCUCCAGCACGCCUUCAGCCGGCCCUCGUCCAAGCAGAACACCCCCCAGUACCCCAACUCCCACCUGGACCAGGACAUCGUGCCCUGCACCCCCAACCACAGCAGCAGGCAGAAGGCAGACAAAGUGACCAGCCUGGCCCUCCCUGAUUACACCAGGUUUUCCCCAGCUAAAAUUGCCCUGCGGAGACACUUGAAUCAGGACCACGGAGUCAAUGGGAAAGCAACAGCUAAUGAGAUACAGAGAGCUGAGCACGUCAAAGAGAAUGGCCUUACAUAUCCAAGCCCUGGAAUUGCAAAUGGCAUAAAGCUGAGUCCUCAGGAAACUCGGCCCUCCUCCCCCGCGGCCUUACCCAGUGCAGGAGAGAAGGUUUUGAGAGAGAGAACCUCUGUGAGUAAUGGAGAAACUAUCACCAGCCUCCCUAUCAGUAUUCCUCUGAGCACAGUGCAGCCCAAUAAACUCCCUGUUAGUAUCCCUCUGGCCAGCGUAGUCCUACCUAGCCGUGUUGAGAAGGUGAGAAGCACACCCAGCCCAGUUCACCAGAGUAGAGACUCAUCGACACUUGAAAAGCAGAUUGGUGCUAGUUCUCAUAAUGGCAUAAGCAAUGCUGCUGGAAACAAGCCUCUGGCUUUGGCUACCUCAGGUUUUUCUUACUCUUCUGGCUCCGUGGCAGUCAAUGGAAAUCUUACAAACAGCCCAGCCCAUCUUAACCAUAGUGUUGAUCAGGCAGCUCUGGACGACUCUGGGAGUCUCUUUAACUCUGUAGGGUCUCGGAGUUCCACUCCACAACAUCCUUUGCUAAUGAUGAGGAACUCUGGGCAGAACUCCCCUGCUCAGCAGCACUCGAGCCCCCGCUUAAGUGGCCCGGCCCAGAGCCUGGCAGGGGGACUGCAGAGUGCAGAGGCUCAGAAGAUCUUUGCCGAAGGAACAAAGGGGGACCUGCAGUCUGAUGCAGCGUUUUCAGAUCCUGAGAACGAGGCCAAGAGGAGAAUCAUCUUUACAAUCUCUCCUAAUACAGGACAUGUAAAACAAUCCCCUUCCAGCAAGCACAGCCCUGUGCCCGCCAGCGCCCGGCCGGACGGCGGCCAGGCCCACGCGCAGGACGGGAAGAAGCGGGGCCGGCGGAAGAGAUCCUCCACUGGGAAUCCCAGCGGGAACGCCGCCGUCUCCCCGAAACGCAAACCCCUGCCCUCGGUGGCCGGGCUCUUUACGCAGCCCUCGGGGUCGCCGCUCAAUAUCAACUCCAUGGUCAAUAACAUUAACCAGCCCUUAGAAAUAACAGCCAUUUCCUCUCCUGAAAACUCCCUGAAGAACUCUCCUGUUCCUUACCAGGACAAUGACCAGCCCCCAGUGCUGAAAAAGGAGAAGCCCCUCGUUCAGACCAACGGUGUCCAUUACUCCCCCCUGACAUCGGAUGACGAGCAGGGCUCUGAGGAUGAGCACAAUAGCAGCAGAAUUGAGAGGAAAAUUGCAACAAUAUCAUUGGAAAGCAAAUCUCCACAGAAGACUGUUGAAAAUGGUGGCAGCUUAUCGGGGAGGAAACAAGCACAAAGCAACGAGAACAUGAACAGCAGCAAAUGGAAAUCGACUUUUUCACCGAUAUCCGACAUCAACCUGACCAAAACCACAGACAGCCCCUUGCAGGCGGUGUCAGCUCUGAGCCAGAACUCCCUGUUUGCCUUCAGGCCUCCCUCCGAGGACGGGCUGGCCAUGGACACCAAGGUCCCGGGACACCCCAGGAAAAGCCUGGCUGUGCCCUCGGACGGGCUGAGCCCUGGCACAAACCCCCCCAACGGCUUCACCUACAACGGGGGCCUGUCCAGCGAGCUGGGCUUGCACGGCUUCAUGGACAGCGCUGCUCUUCCACACAAAGCUCCGGACGGGACGGCUUCCAACUGCUCCCUGGGGUUCCCCUCGCAGCGAGGCAAAGACCUGGGGGUGUCGGACACGAACCUUUUCCUGAACAAGAGGCAGCUGGAAGGUCUGGGCAGCAAGGGAGAAGAGCUGAGCCGGCCAGGGGUGAAGGGCAAAGAGCUCAGCGAGCUGAGCGUCCGAGCGGGGGGGUCUGCGGAGAAAAACUCUGUGCAGCACAACGGGAAGGUCGGCAAGGGAAGGGACCGAGAUGUGGAGUUUAAAAAUGGCCACAACCUUUUCAUUUCUGCUGCUGUUUCGUCUGGUGGCCUUCUGAAUGGUAAAAGCCUUUCUACUGCUGUCUCCUCAGCAGGGACCCCAGCGCCGUCUGUCCCGACGCACCAUCCUUUCCUCAACACUCUGACCACUGGAUCGCAGUUCCCCCUCGGCCCCAUGGCCUUGCAAGCAAACCUCAACUCGGUGACAAAUUCCUCAGUAUUGCAGUCCUUAUUUAAUUCAAUGCCAGCUGCUGCCAGUCUGGUCCACGUGUCAUCAGCUGCAACCAGACUGACUAAUUCUCACACUAUGGGGAACUUCUCUCCUGGGGUUACAGGUGGAACAGUUGGAGGUAGGCAGAACUCUUUCUCUGGUAUAAGACAGGGCCUAAAGGAAAGUCUGACACUGCCUCUCCAGGGGUGAAACCCUUUCAUUUCUACAGGAUGUGAAGCAGAUCUGUCCCACAUAACCAGUCUCCUCUCUCUCUCUCUCUCUCUCGGAAUUGCUAGGAUGAGUUCAGUUCCCCACAGUGAAAUCUCAUGAGCUUUGUCUGCUAGAUGAGCUUGUUGUACCACCUUAAUGAAACAAUACACCCAGACUUUGUGAUUGAUAAUGUUUGCUUGUUCAGAUGUUGCUGUGUUGGAACCAACUUAGGUCUGCCUGCAGGUAACAGAUUUCACUUGUGCUGGUAUCAUGUUAAGGAUCUCUAACUUGUCAACUUGAGUAAAUGUUGAGAUUAGGCCUUGAAUGGAUUUAGCAUGAUCCAGGAGGAGCAGAACAUCAGAGGAGCUGGUGUUGGGAGUUCUGUAGCGUUCUGGCCCUUGAAUGGACAUGAAGAGCAUUUCUUGGCCAGGAAGGGCAAUGCCAUAUGCACCUUGCACUUCUGGGAUUCUGCACAGGCUUGGCUUCUGUGGCCCACACCGGGGACAAGCUGGCAGGACUAGAAGAUAGGCUGAACCUGCCAUUUCUAAGUGUCCAGGGCAGUUUUUCUUACCUGUCCAUAAUCAUUCAGGCACCAUGUCGGGAAAUCCUAACUCUCACAUCUCUCAGCACGUAGAUUUGCUGGAAUUACAACUCCCCUCUGCUGCCCUGUAAGUGGGGGAGCAGGAGGGUGGGGAGGGAAGAGCAGCACUUUGAGUCUUCAGAUAACCAACUCUAAAGACCACUUCUAAUCUCAUCAAAACUCUGCCCGUGUGGUAUAGAACUGACAGUUCUUGGGUCUGACCAUUUUUCCUCGUGGCAUUUAGAGGUUGGCAGUAGGAAAGGUAACUAGGAUUUCUACCUCAACCCAAUGUGACCUAUGCAAGGACAACGUGGACCAACUUCACUCGGCUUCCACUGAAAGGUGCUCACCUGGCCUGUGCAGGGGUUUCUACUCUCUUACUACUGGACAAAAAUAAAAACCAUAAAAAAGACCUAAACAACAGAGCAAAUAUUUACUGUGAAUCUGAGUAAAAAAAAAAAAAAAAAAGAAAAAAAAAAAGGAAAAAAAAAGAAAAAAAAGGCAAAAGAAAUGCUUAAAGCUCCAGUUUGUAUUGUUGAUAGUUUAGAUAAAGUAUUUAUCUUUUUUUUAAAGUGAAAACAAUUUUGACUUAUUUUAUUCCACCUAGACUCAUAAAUACAAGUUAUUAUUAUUAAAUUCUCUGAAUACUAAAGGACUGGCACACCAGCAGAGAUGUAAAAGAGCCUCCUCGGUGCUAUUUUGUCCGUCAGAACUGUGCCUCUGGUUUGAAUCCUUGGUGCUGAUUUUUUGGGGGUUGACCAAUGCCAAACCCAGUUCUCAAAGGUCUGCAGAUUGUUUAUUCCCCUGACUCUGUUCAUAUCCCAAAAUCUGCUUGCUUGGCUGCAGGGGAGCGACAGAGGAAGGAAUUCUCCUCCCUGGGGGUUUGAUUUGGACUGAGCCAGGCGCUUUUUAAUGGGUGGGUUUUAAUUGAGUUUGUGACUAACGAGGGCUCUGUGCUCCCCUCUGGAGCAGCCUGGGCAGGCACAGUUGCAACAGGAGAAAUCCAAGUCCUGCCCCAUCCCAACUACUUCCCUGGGCCAUUUGCAGUUGCUGGUGGCACUCGGGUCACUGUGAAUUUUGGUAGCUGGUUGGUAACCCUUUCUUGGGGCUUAUGAACAGGGUGUGGGGUCAGUGGUGUUGGUGCAGCCCUUUCCCAGCACGGGGAAGACUGAACAUUGUGCUUCUGUCCUGCUGCAGGGCACAGACUUGCUCAGCUCGUUGUUUCUCUGUUCCAAGCACGACGCGUUUCGUUGGUAGGGUUUUGAUUCUUGACUCUAACCUGGCUCGGCCGUGUCCCUGGAUUGCCAAGGUGCUUUUUGCUGUCGUGUUCCUUUGCUUUUGGGUAGGUUCUUGAAUGGUAGUUCACAAAAACACCCCGAGCUGGCUGCCUGUGCUGCCACUGUCCCCCCUGGGGCAGGGACCUGUGUUGUGACUCGGUGUCGUGUGUGCAGGAAGGGCUGAUUUUACAGAGGUCUGAUGAGAACUUGUGAGUUUCCUAUAUUGUAUUUCCUUUAUUUUUAGGUUUUACAAUGCACAAUAAACCUGUAAAAACUUAUUUAUUCAAGUGCACAAAGUGAGGAGGAGAAGGAGGAUCCGUUCAAGUGGGAAUCAGGCUGGUCUGAGUUCAGGCUGGGCCAAGCACUUAUAAAGGAAACUGCAGUAGAAAGGGGAUUGCAGCAGCAAAAUGACUGGAAAAAAGUCACGUUCAGGCUUUGGGAAACACCUCCCUGCUGGCCCUGGUGCUCAGAGGGGCAACACUAUGUCCUUAAAUCCCUUCUAGUGCUCCCUGGUGAGUGUCCGCUGCAGCCAUCAGGCACUGGCAGGAGCUCCAUGGAGCAUCCCGGGGUCACAAACAGCAGCUCAGCUCCUGCCUCUGGCUGUGGGCUCAGUGAGGUCCCUGUGCCCUCCUGUGCUCUCCUGUGCCUGGAUCCAGGAGGGCUGGGAGUGCUUGGAGAGCGGGUGAGGGGCUGCAGCAUCUCCCACCCUCUGCAGGGUUCAGUUCUCAUCCUGGGCAGUCUUAGGAGACAUUUAGGACCAGGUGCAGUUGUUCUGUGAUUCCUGAGCGUGUCUUCCAUAGGAGCCUCUGUGUGCAGACUCCGGGGAUCUGCCUUUGCCUCCUCAUCCACUGGGAAGGGCAGGGCCUGAAAGCCCUGGGAGUUGGGGGCAUUUUGGAUGUUUUCUGCUUUGUGUGUGGGACAGGGUGUGUCCUGCUGAGGGACUGGCAGCACGAGGAAAACCUGGAAAAGGGCAGGAAUGCUCGGAGGGUGAGAGCUGAGGAACAUCCAGUAGCUUCUAGUAGGAGCCAAACACAGUGUAUGUCCUGGAAUCCAGGAGCACAAUGUAACCCAGAUGUUUUGCAGCUGGGAGUUGGGCAGCUCCAGCUUCUUCCCCAGCACACAGCAGAGUGCUGGGGCCUCUGGAGACUGCAAAUGAGUGAUUGCUGGAGGGGCAGCAGCCUUAAUUAAUUUCCUAAUUACCUCUCCCCCAUCAUUUAUAUCUCUGGUGAGAGAGAGAGAGGAGGAAAUAUGAGUAGAAGCUUUUCAUCCCCCGAUUUUAUCAGAUCCUUUCCUGCAGAGGGACCGGGACGUGGUGCCCCUUGGAGCUCUUGUACCUCCCCUUCACCUCCAGCCACAAGAUCCAGGAGGAAAACUUGGCUGCCAUCCCUUGUCCUGGUUUGGUUGGUGCCCAAGGCACUCACAGGAUCCAUGCUGGAGAAGGAACCACCCCACAGAUUCCAUGGAACCCUCUGUGCUUCCCGGCACUGGCCCGUGUCACCCUGCGGACAUGGGGCACUCCCUGGAUGAGGAGGGACAGAUCCUUGUGGGAAUGAUGUGCUCUGCAUCCAGCAGCUCAGGAGUCAGUGUCAGGAGAGCCAGACUGAGCUGUCAGAGAGGUCAGGGGUGGCCUGGGCUCUGUCUCCUCACAGCUGGACUCGCUGAUCUGAAAGAUCUUUUCCAACCUGAACAAUUCUGUGAUUCCAGAACCCUUUGGAGCAAAGGCCCCCGGCGAGGAGUUUGUCACUGCUCUCUGGAGGGUGUUGAGGAAAAGCAAAGCCCGUCUGUCCCUCGCUGUCACCUCUGGUCCCUGCUGUGGUGGCCAGCCAGUGUCCAAGGCAGGGCUGGCUCAGGAGCAGCCCUGGGAAUGGGCAGCACAACCCCUGGACUCAGCACUCGGCUGUGACCGAGCCACUUCCAACCCCCCAGGAUUUCCGAGUCUGUGACUCUCCAGACAUCAUCUGGGAAGGCCCAAGGAAACCAGACCCAGGGAUGAAUCUUUGGGAUUCCUGGGAAGGGAUCCAGUCUGCCUGAGCAUCAGCCUUCCCCUACCUGUGCCCCAGUGCCUGCUGGCAUCCCAGUGCCUGCCGUUCCCACCCUGUUCCACACUGGUGGAAUCUGGAGCUGCUCUGGCUGUGCCGGUGUCUUCCCCCCACCCCAGGCCCUGCACUGGAGCUGCUCCUGGCAGCGAUUCCCAAAUGGUGCUUCCAGAGGGUGCCUGCUCAGCACUGAGGUGGGAAGCCAAGGGGGCACUUUAGGACUGGAGCCUCGGCCCUGCCUGAGCUGGGAGAUGUUUUUGCCAAGAGAUUCCUGGUUUUGUCUUCCCUCUCCCUGACCUUUUAUUGCUUUGCUGUCAUCUGGGGCAAGCUCAACUUGAAAUCGUGGAGUCACAGAACAUCCUGAGUUGGAAGGGACCUGGAGGCUCAUCGAGUCCAGCUCCUGGCCAGUAUGUUACUCCUCAGUCUGCACAUUGGGAAGAGCUUUCACCUGGCUGCAGGCAGACCUUGGAGCUGGUGGAAUCUGAUCUGUGUGGCCCCAGCCGUGACCUCUGGAACACUGAGCCAGAAGCUGAAACCUGUUUGCAAUAAUUGAACAUUCUCUGGAGCAAUCAAAGCCAAACAGUUCCAGAAAAAGAGAAUUUCUCCUGCCUUACCACAUCCUGCCGGUGCCGGGUCCCGCCGUUCCGGGGCUGUCACAGCUCCCCCUCCUCCAUGCCCCUGCUGCCAGCGAGGGACUCGCCAGGAAGCCAAAGCACAUCUUGGAGCACAUCUGUGCCAAAAAAAUGGAACUUCCUGAGUGCUGUGCUGAGGAAAACCUGUCCCUGCUGCUCAAUGUCAGCCUUGAGGAACAAGACUUGCGUGGGCUCUUCCUUUUUUGGGGAUUUGCCACCUCUGGCUCGCCAGGCCCAGUCCCCUGGGACCCACGGUGCUGGGAGGGCUCCAAAGACACCGGACCUAAAUUUGGGAUUUGCUGCAGAUGAGUCAUUCAGCAGCAAUUCUUCUUCCAUCAGUCAGGGGUGUGGGGACACCCAGCAGCUGGAUUGCUGAGAGAGAGAGCAGGAAAACAUUGCUGAGGAUGUAGAGGCUGGAUCCGAGCUGGUGCGAGGGAUAAGGGGCAUGAGGAGGUGUCCCUCCAUCACCUCUUGGUUUGGCACAAACGAGGCCCUUCCCUGUAGGAAGGUGUGGGUCAGUCUGGACAGCCAGGGAACAUCUUCACCUCAGCUCAGUUGUGGAUGCAGUGGGAGAGAGGAGAAGGAGGAAGGAGAAGCAGCUUUUUAGGGAAGCAGCAGGGAGUGCAGCACAUCCUCUCUGUCCCUGACAUUCCGGGACUGAGCGUCAUCUCCAGCUCCUUCUUUCAGCAGGAAUUUGUGUCUCCUCCACCAGACAGAUCAGAAAUUCUUGUGCCUCUAUCUCUUUUCCUUCCUUCCAGCACUUUAUCUUCCAGUGCACCCCUUGUGCUCCCCCUGCUCUUGGCUGGGGUUGUGCUCCGGGCUCAGCCUGGCAGGGGAGGUGGGAUUCCCCUGUGCCAGGACUCGCUGCUGGGAUCAAGCCGAGCUUGGAGGGUCUGAGUCUGGGUUCACACCCACAGCCCCUGAAGUCCCCCAGGCAGGAAGGUGACAUCACUUGGUCGUGAAUGGAUUUACUCAUCUCUUUUUGAAUCCAGAGAUUCCAAAUCCCCAGGGCUUGACACUCCUUGGUGUGAAACUCGCCCAGCUCUGGGUCAUGCUCAGUUCAAGCGCUGAGUCACUUUCUUCUUUCUUAAGUCAAACUUGAUCCUUGAGGACGUCACUUGAGCAAUUUCAGCCUGGAGUGGAGAGGUUUCCAGCCUGAUCAGCUCUUCCAUCCCACCUGGAAACAUCUCCAGUUGGAGCAUUGCUCCAGAGCUGCUCGGGGCUGUCUCUGCCCUCACCCCGCUGGGGACAGGUUUCCUUCUGAGAUGUGUUGGGGUCACUUCUUUAAGCUCCUUCUUCAGGGUUGGACUAAAUGACCUGUAAAGGUGCUUUCCAAUCUUUCCAAACUGUUCUGGUUCUCUGUGCAGACACAUCUGGGAGGAGCUGGGUGAGAGCCAGACCUGCCUCACCUGCUGCUCCUGCACCUCCACCCCAGUGCUGUGGGGUGCAACAUUUGGCAGCUCAGGCACUCCCCACCACAGUGGAUUUACUGCCCGUGGUCAUUGGUUCCAUCUCAUCCCAACCUUCCCCUGGAAAACUGUGGAUCUUCCUGUUCUGCUGGGCUGCCCCUUCCAGGGGAAGGUCUUUUCUUGUGGCCAUGGACAGGCAGCCUGGGGCUUGGUUCUUGCUGGGACUGUGUGUUCAGAAAGCAACAUCUGCUCCUCUGGUAUUUUUCCACUCGGAGGAGAGUCCAGGCAGAGGAGAGCCCGAGGGAGUGGUGGCAGGAGAGUCCCAGGGUGCAGAGCUGCUGGGGACACCCAGGCCUGGCUCGGGGGGACCCCAGCGCUUUCAGCUCCUCUGAGUCCCUUCAGGGCCCCGGGAUGCUCCCGCUUCCCUCCCUGCUCCUGCUGAUUGCUGGGAGAGGAGACUCCCAGCACUGGGAGCUGUUCUCAGGCUGCUGAAGGUGAUUCCCCUCCUGCUCAGCCUUCCCAGCCCCUUCCUUCCCUCCUCAGCCGGGUCUGGAGCACCCCCGAGCCCUGGGGACACCUGCACUGCCCGGCCCGGGGUCGCUGUCCCCACGGAGCAGCCGUUCCCGAGGGUUCCCUGCUGUGUCCUGGUGCUGAUGCCGAGGUGGCUUCGCUUGCUCACCCCCCCUGUGACCCAUUUGCUUUCGGUGCUGGAAUUCGCCCUCUGACCCAGAGGAUUCUCUGUGGGUUUUGUCCUGGAUAACUCCACCCUGGAGUUCUCCCAACUCCCAGGGGUGGCUGCUGUGGAAAAUUCUGCUUUUCUGGUUGUUUUGCCUGAGCCAAAAGCACAGAGAGGAUGAAGGGUUGGGAGCAGGGGAGGGCCUUGGGCAGGGCUGUGAACCCAAAAUCCUUCUGGGGAGCAGAAACUACACAGUGUUUUUGUGAACUAUCUUUGCAGCACUGAGGAAAAAUCACAGGAAUUGGAGUUUUGGGAGCACAGAUGUGCAGUCAGUGUAUGAAUAUUUGAAGUUUUACUGGUUUUAAAGGGUUUUUUCUUCCUUUUUUUUUUGCUCCGUUUCCAUUUUCCGCUCCAUUUGCGGAUCAGGUUUUCACUAAAAGCUGGAGUUCCAGUUUCAAAAUGUUGUUGUGCCAUAUUUUAUUUAUCCUUAUACAUUAUAAAUAUAUAAAUAUCUAUUUAGACUAAAUAUUGCAUUGAAAGAUGCUGUUAUUGAGAACUUCAGGGUUUAAACCCAAGACAAAAAAAAUGGGAAAUAAUUCUCCAGUACUUUUGCUGUUUGGGACCUUCUCCCUGAAGGGCUCCUUGAGUUCUUUGUGGUGUAAAAACAAAAUCACAUCCAAAAAUUCAAUGUUUGACGAUGCUAACCCUGAAGUUCUCAGGUUUGUGAUCCUUUGGUUUUCUCGAGGUACAUCUGGUUGCUUUUCUGGUGGAGUCAAAUGAUUUUUUUAAAGGUUUCAUCUCUGGAGUUAUUGAGGAAAAGGUGGAAUGGGUUGAUCCAUCCUGCUUGGCUUUUUUAACCUAUUAAUGUUUGAAGUGAUCGAUUUCCAAUUAAAACCCAACUUUUUAGGUCUCUGUUCUACUUAAACUUUUUAGGAGUGAGAGCCUGCCCUCGCUGAGUGGGACUUGGAUGGGGAAAGCAGUAGAUGAUGAGGUUGCUGUUGCUCAGGAAUUGAUUAGUAAACUUUUAACUACUAAUAAAAAUCCAUUCUUCAAUGGAUUUUUUUGAAAAACCCAUUUUCUUAGGACAGUGAUAUGGGAUGUUUCCUAGUAAAUAGGAAUUAGUUUAUAUAAUUUAGCCUAUUAAACUGAAUUAUUUAAAAUUCAAACUUCCCCUAAUUUAUCUCCUUUUUUUUUUGGUUUUCUUUUUUGUUUUGGUUGUUUUCUUUUUUUUUAUACUGGUAAGUUGUCCUGUCAUUCCUUUCAUUCCUGCAUAGCAGUAGUGUGAAUUCUGGUGUGUAUAUAUGUAUGUAUAAUAUAUAUAUUUCCACCCUGCCUUUCUAAUUCUCCACAAUGUAAGAGUUAGUUUUUGCUCCCCUCCCUCCACUUAAUUUCUCGUGUCUCCCUUGAUUUGUAAUUGAAACGAUGCUUUGAAGUUUUGUCUUUAUAUUAAAGUGUCUGUAUUUUAAUACACUGA